rfam:TPA: Bos taurus chromosome 8, whole genome shotgun sequence.
UCCCUGGUGGCUCAGACAGUAAAGAAUCUGCCAGCAAUGCAGGAGACCCAGGUUUGAUUCCUGGCUCGGGAA